ACCCUGUGCUAAAUGUAAUUGUUUUAUUCUUCAUGGUUAGACGAUAUUAAUACAUUGGUUUGGAUUAUGUGAUGAUAGAAGUUCCAUUGUUCUAAAUAUCAUUUCCCUCUGCAUGAUGCUGCACUUUAAAAUAUCAUCAUUUGUGUAGAUGUAAUGUAAGGGAUUGUUAUACUUUUUAUUUAUAACAAUAUAAUAUCAUUACUGAUAUUAAAAUUAAAAAAAAUGCAGUAUAAGGGAGAGAUCCACUACCUAAUACGUUGGAUCUAACAAAAGAAGGAUAUACAACAGUAUAAACAACAACAACAAUAAAUACAUGAAGCCCCUAUUUCCAAAACAGCAACCCAAAUAAAUGCACAAUGCUGCACUUUAAUAUUGAUUUUUCAUAUAUUCUUAAGUUCCUCCAAAAUUAGCAUCAUUUUUUGUUUUUCUUGGUCUUUGUCUGCCAAAAGAGGGAAAUGCAUGGUAUAUGCAAAUAUAGAUAAAUUUUUAAAUGAAAUUAUAGGGAUCUUAUAUUUCUGGUCUUGAGCUCAUAAGCUAAAAGGAUUUCUUUUUCCUUACAGAAUUUGUGUGUAACUGAGAGUUUGUAAUUCAAGGAGACUGGUGUCUGUUCAUUCUUGGUUGGGAUAUACUCUCCAUCCAGGUAUAUCAGAGUAAAUUUGCAAGUAGGAAUGCAAUCUGAAAGAUGUCAGUUGGGUGGUGGUGCAGCUUUGAUCAGUAUUAUUCCAUUAGUCCUCCAUUUGGAAUAGCGUAU